rnacentral:rRNA from 1 species
UACGAAGGGGGCUAGCGUUGUUCGGAAUUACUGGGCGUAAAGCGCACGUAGGCGGACUAUUAAGUCAGGGGGUGAAAUCCCGGGGCUCAACCCCGGAACUGCCUUUGAUACUGGUAGUCUCGAGUCCGGAAGAGGAGAGUGGAAUUCCUGGUGUAGCGGUGAAAUGCGCAGAUACUCAGGAAGAACACCCGUGGCGAAGGCGGCUCUCUGGGACGGUACUGACGCUGAGACGCGAAAGCGUGGGGAGCGAACAGG